rnacentral:rRNA from 1 species
UACGAAGGGGGCUAGCGUUGCUCGGAAUGACUGGGCGUAAAAGGCGCGUAGGCGGAUGGCUUUGUCGGGCGUGAAAUUCCAGGGCUCAACCUUGGGUGGUCGUUCGAGACGGGUUAUCUAGAGUUUGGAAGAGGGUCGUGGAAUUCCCAGUGUAGAGGUGAAAUUCGUAGAUAUUGGGAAGAACACCGGUGGCGAAGGCGGCGACCUGGUCCUUGACUGACGCUGAGGCGCGAAAGCGUGGGGAG